UACGUAGGCAGCGAGCGUUGUUCGGAAUUACUGGGCGUAAAGAGUGUGUAGGCGGUGCUCUAAGUUUGGUGUGAAAUCUCCCGGCUCAACUGGGAGGGUGCGCCGAAAACUGGAAUGCUUGAACAUGGGAGAGGAAAGCGGAAUUCCUGGUGUAGCGGUGAAAUGCGUAGAUAUCAGGAGGAACACCUGCGGUGUAGACGGCUUUCUGGACCCAUUGUUGACGCUGAGGCACAGAAAGCCGUGGGUAGCAAACAGG
rnacentral:rRNA from 1 species